rnacentral:rRNA from 1 species
UACGAAGGGGGCUAGCGUUGUUCGGAAUCACUGGGCGUAAAGGGCGCGUAGGCGGCCGAUCAAGUCGGGGGUGAAAGCCUGUGGCUCAACCACAGAAUUGCCUUCGAUACUGUUUGGCUUGAGACCGGAAGAGGUAAGUGGAACUGCGGGUGUAGAGGUGAAAUUCGUAGAUAUUCGCAAGAACACCAGUGGCGAAGGCGGCUUACUGGUCCGGUUCUGACGCUGAGGCGCGAAAGCGUGGGGAGCAAACAGG